rnacentral:rRNA from 1 species
CCUACGGGCGGCAGCAGUGGGGAAUAUUGGACAAUGGGGGGAACCCUGAUCCAGCCAUGCCGCGUGUGUGAAGAAGGCCCUCGGGUUGUAAAGCACUUUCAGUGAGGAAGAACGCCUGGUGGUUAAUACCCAUCAGGAAAGACAUCACUCACAGAAGAAGCACCGGCUAACUCCGUGCCAGCAGCCGCGGUAAUACGGAGGGUGCGAGCGUUAAUCGGAAUUACUGGGCGUAAAGCGCGCGUAGGUGGCUUGAUAAGCCGGUUGUGAAAGCCCCGGGCUCAACCUGGGAACGGCAUCCGGAACUGUCAAGGUAGGGUGCAGGAGAGGAAGGUAGAAUUCCCGGUGUAGCGGUGAAAUGCGUAGAGAUCGGGAGGAAUACCAGUGGCGAAGGCGGCCUUCUGGACUGACACUGACACUGAGGUGCGAAAGCGUGGGUAGCAAACAGGAUUAGAUACCCUAGUAGUC